AUGGCCCAGGUAACCCUGGGGACAGAAGUCACCACAGAGGGGGAAUUUGGCCCAGCUGAGCAUAGCUGGGUCUGCAGCCUGAUAUACAGAGAGCAUGGCUGCCUGCACAUCUCUGGAGGAGCAUGCAGCUGGUUGAGGCUUGGAGAGAGUCAGCAUAGACCCUGCAGGACAAACUGCCUUUGUUUCUCUGGUGCUACAGAGCCAGAGUAUUAGGCACCACUUCUCUGUGCUGAAAUCAAAGCCAAGGCAGGGAGCUAAACUGCAGCUUUGUGCUUCACCCUGACAGCGGCUUCAUUGGUGCAGGAGCUUCCCCUUGGUAUUGGAGCCAUUUGGCAAGGAGUUUGGGCCUGGCCUUCAUUUCCUAUGUCUUUGGCCACACACCUCUUUGCUGUGGUCAUGACAGAGAUCCCAGAUUACUUUGCAAAGGGCCCUGGGAGGGAGGGGGCAGGGCCACUGCAGCAAAACACCCGGGCUCCCACUGUUCCUCCUCAUCYUCCCUGCUGCAGAGAGGCUGAGCUGCAGUUGCCAGAAGUGGGGCUGGCUCAAGGCACAGGCACCUCAUGAUGCUGCUUCUCCCCAGGCGUUCCUUCCCCUGCUGAAGAAAGCUGCCCGGGAGAGCACAGACAAGGGACUGAGUUGCAGCAAGGCUGCCCUCAACAUGCUCACCAAGUGCCAGGCUCUGACCUACAGGGAGACCGGAAUCCUCUGCGUGGCGCUUCACCCUGGCCGGGUGAAAACCGACAUGGGCACCCAGGAGGUGGGUUCUGGCUGGGCAGGGGUGAGGGGGCCCCACGUACRGGAUCCAGCCCAGCAAACUCACACUCAUGCUUGA
rnacentral:lncRNA from 1 species